CAUAUAUGCUGUGUGCUGGCGUGGCCCUGCUGCAUGCGCCGCUCGCUGUGAAUACUGAUUUGGAAUCCUACAUCAGCUCAAGUGCGAAUUCACCGAUUCUCUGGAAUCUGAUAGUGGGAGGAGAAUGAAAUGAAACUGUGUAACCUCUAAACAACCCCUGAGGUUUGAGAAGUCUCAAGGCGAGAGCGAACGAGAAAGAGGAAACACUGAAAGUGAGAGAGUGUCUUGUUUAACUGAAAGUGAGAAUGAUGGUAUUAAAAGGAAGUAGAACAAUUGUAGCCAUGGAGACCAGCUCGAAGGAUGGGGUGCUAUUGUUUGAAAGAAGGACAUGGAGGGAACAAAAGAUCAAACCCGUUGUAGCGAUUGGAUUGACUCA